UGAAGACAGCUACAGGGUACAUAAAUAGAGUAAUAAAUCUUUUUUAAAAAAAAAAAAAAAAAAAGGAAAGAAUAAAAAUGAAUGAGUAAGGGCAGGCAUGGUGGCAGAGGUCUUUAAACCCAGAACUUAGAAAGCGGGGGCAGGCCAAUCUCUGUGAACUCAAGGCUAACCUGUUCUAUCUACCUAGUAAGUUUCAGGCCAGCCAAGUCUAGGCAGUGAGACCCUGUCUCAAAAAAGCAAAGCAGAUGAGUUAGGAUUAAAUAGCAGAGGUAGUGUAUCUUAGUAACAAGAGGAAGUUAGGUGUGUAGAUGAGCAGGUUUAGCCCGAUGAGGAGGACUAUAACACUUCACAUAAUCUCCAUACUGAAUAUUGAAUGUAAGUCAUCAUGAAGAGUGAGGAAUGGGGAGCUGGUUCCAUGAACAGGCAUGCAGUGCGUGAAUUGGGGCAUGUGGAAGCAUUACUCGGCAGCAUUAAGGGCCCAGUUGAAGUUAGCUUCCAGAAUUUAAUUCACCCAUUUGGGAUUUUACCAGACAAGUACAAAAGAAAUUGAAGGGCAAGAGAAUUGAGGAUAUUGUCCGUGUAAUGUUUAUAUUGGUGUACCAUGGUACCUAAAGGGAAGUUACAGUGUGAUAGACUGUGAAAGACAGUGAAAAAAGAUGGUAGGAUUAAUGGGCAAACUGGGUAUGCCUGUAAUCUUAGCUCUCAGGAGAAAGAGGCAGAAGGAUUGCCAUAAGUGUAAGGACAGCCUGGGCUACCUAAGGCAUUCCAGACCAGCCAGGUCUUCCUAUGAAGACCCUGUCUCAAAAAAACAAAACAAACUGAUAAAAAAAAAUCCAGUAGACAAAAGAAAAAAAAAGUUCUUGGACUUCAUCAAUCAGGAGUAGAAGAUUAUGGAAGUAGUGUGGUUAGUUAAUGUGGAGUUGGCAAUCAUAUCAGGUCUGAGCGUGCAGUCAGGUUCUCAGGUCAUACAUUAUAUGGAUAUUAAACCCAUCCAAAAUUAGGAGUGGUAUUGAUGAAAGAUGGUGAAAUGGAUGCUAAACUGUUCAUAAAAUGAGGCCGGGCGUGGUGGUGCAUGCCUUUAAUCCCAGCACUCGGGAGGCAGAGAGACGAGUGUAUUUCUGAGUUCGAGGCCAGCCUGGUCUACAAAGUGAGUUCCAGGACAGCCAGGGCUAUACAGAGAAACUCUGUCUCAAAAAAAACGAAAAAAAAAAAUUUUUUUUUUUUUGUUCAUAAAAUGAGGGAGAAUUAAUUUGUUAUUCUGUAACUGCAACAAAGAGGAACAGUGGUGUUAUACUGUGUUAUAAGCAUCAAUAAUUUUUCCUAAAGACUUUACAUUCUUUGUGACCUACUUUGUGUGAGUCUAUGUGGAGGUCGGAAAUUAGCCUCAUAUAUCUUAAUUGCUUUAAAAAGUUGUGUGUGUCUGUCCCCGCCCAUCUGUCUGUCCAUCCAUCCCUUUAUUUCUGUGUGUUUGUUUGAAUGUAUGCCAUGUGUGUACAGGUGUUCAUAGAGGCCAGAAGGGAUUGUUGGAUUCCUUAGAAAAGGAGUUAGAGGUAGUUGUGAGCCACUACACAUAGGUGCUAGGAACCAAACAUCUGCAAAAGCAGCAGGUGCUAAGCCAUCUCCUUGCUUUUUUGAGACAGGAUCUCUCCUGUAGUUUACCGUUUGGGCUGGGCUGGCUUGCCUUCAGUUCCCCAGAACUGAGAUUGCAGGCACAAACCACCAUGCCUGUAGCAGUUACUUUACCCAUUGAGCCAUCUCCCUACUCCCCCACCCCCACAUACAUUUUAAAAAUAAGUACAAUUUAAGAUUACAUUAGCUUUUUGUUUUUGUUGUGCUGAAAUAAAGCUCUGUACUCUCCACACGAUAGGCAAAUGCUCUACCAUUGAGUUACAUUCUGCCUUUUUAAAUAAUAAAAGAUUGACUUAAUGAAUUCGUGGAUACUUUAAAUGGACAAAUCUCUUAACAUGAGCUACAGCCACUUUGUUGUACAAGUUCCAUCACACACUGAUGGAUUUCAUUUUGUUCAACUUAAGUCUUAGCUGUGUUUUAGUUUUAAGUUUAUAGGUACCUUACCAGGAAUCUGCCCAGGCUUGUCUGAAACUUAUUCACUAGCCCAGGCAUACCUUAAAUUUAUACCAUCCUGUCUCAGCCUCUCAUGUAGCUGGGUUUAUAGACCUGUGCCUUCCAUAUCUGAUAUACUUUCUGCAGUUGUCUUCCUGUUUCUCAUAAGAUUAUAUUAAAAGGAAAGGGGGAGGUUAGAAAGAUGUUGUAUAUUAUAAUAUUCAUAAUCAUUCAUUCAGCCAUAAUCAUUCAACAAGAUUUGAGUUCCUCCUGCCAGGCACUGAUACUGUGAAUGAUGAGGCUGAAAAAUGUAUAGUAAUACUCAAUGACAAGUGUCAUGGAUGCACGGCUGUGAGCACAGGACUUUCCUGUGUUUGGAGUGGUUGUAGAGUUGGAUUUAAGGAAGUACUACUAAAACUUCAAUUAGUCUUACUAAAAAAAAGAAGAAAGGGGAUACCUUCUAGGUAAAGGUGCCAAUCCACCCUUGGAGAAUUUUCAAGAGAACAAUGUGCUACAUGUGUGGGAGAGGCCAUAUAUUAUGAAAUUGUUACAUUUGACUAUUUUCACCAGACCAGCAAAAUGAGGGAAGUAUGGUGGGAAGUAAGAUGAGUAAGAGCCAGGUCAGGUCAGACUGUAUGUGAUUUAUGCCCAGUAUUAUGUGACUACAGAUUUGUAUUUUCCAAGAGAUUUAACAUCACUUUUUACCUU
rnacentral:lncRNA from 1 species